rnacentral:rRNA from 1 species
UGUCGUCAGCUCGUGUCGUGAGAUGUUGGGUUAAGUCCCGUAACGAGCGCAACCCUUGUCCUUAGUUACCAGCACGUUAUGGUGGGCACUCGUAAGGAGACGUGCCGGUGACAAACCGGAGGAAGUGGGGAUGACGUCAAGUCAUCAUGGCCCUUACGGCCUGGGCUACACACGUGCUACAAUGGUCGGUACAAAGGGUUGCCAAGCCGCGAGGUGGAGCUAAUCCCAUAAAACCGAUCGUAGUCCGGAUCGCAGUCUGCAACUCGACUGCGUGAGGUCGGAAUCGCUAGUAAUCGUGAAUCAGAAUGUCACGGUGAAUACGUUCCCGGGCCUU